UACGUAGGGUGCAGGCGUUAAUCGGAAUUACUGGGCGUAAAGCGUGCGCAGGCGGUUUGCUAAGACAGGUGUGAAAUCCCCGGGCUUAACCUGGGAACUGCGCUUGUAACUGGCAAGCUAGAGUGUGGCAGAGGGGGGUGGAAUUCCACGUGUAGCAGUGAAAUGCGUAGAGAUGUGGAGGAACACCAGUGGCGAAGGCGACUCUUUGGCCUGUAACUGACACUGAGGCGCGAAAGCGUGGGGAGCAAACAGG
rnacentral:rRNA from 1 species